GGAAUCACAAACCUAACGACCGCCAAAAGGGAUAGGAACGUUGUCGGAGACAAAACAAGCAGUUCUUCACCGGAGGAUAAGGCAAAAACGUCGGAGUCAGUCCGGUUGGAUGAAACCGAAGCCGGAAAACAAAAACAUCGAUUUCUCUCACUCUCAAAACAAACUCAUACCUCUCUAAUUUUUUUUUGUGAUAAAAGAGGUAAAGAGAUCAAAAAAAAACUAUCUCAAUAAGAGGAGAGAGAUUUUUUGAGAUUUUUUUUUUACUUUUUUAAUGAAACAUUUUUUGGCUAUUUCUUUUUUUGUAAGUUUUAUUGGUGUAAAAAAAUAUUUUAAAGUUAAUUAAGUGAAUUAAUAUAUAUAUAUAUGAAGAAUUCAAUUAAAACUAAAAAGUAGAUGACGAAAUGCGUGACUAAGAAUAUUAAAGUUAAGUGGCUUUCGUUUCAUAACAUCAAAAAUAGAUACAUCUGACACAAAAGUGUAAGCUCGCAUUAAAACUAUAUGUUCUAGAAAACAUAUAUAAAUCGAAAAAGAAGAGAGGUUCCGUUUCCGCAUGACACGCCUGUUGCCGCUUAAGCUCUCUGUGGCUGCUUCUGCACGGCGUGCCGUAGUUCACGAAUCAUAUACUAUAUUUUUAUAUGCAUUCAUUCAUGAACGAGCUUUCGAAAG
rnacentral:lncRNA from 1 species